rnacentral:rRNA from 1 species
CCUACGGGCGGCAGCAGUGGGGAAUAUUGCGCAAUGGGCGAAAGCCUGACGCAGCGACGCCGCGUGAGGGAUGAAGGUCUUCGGAUCGUAAACCUCUGUCAGCAGGGAAGAACGGUCACUGUGCUAAUCAGCAGUGAAUUGACGGUACCUGCAAAGGAAGCACCGGCUGACUCCGUGCCAGCAGCCGCGGUAAUACGGAGGGUGCGAGCGUUAAGCGGAAUUACGGGGCGUAAAGCGCUCGUAGGCGGUAUGUCAAGUCAAGGGUGAAAUCCCCUCGGUCAACGUGGGCACUGCCUGUGAAACUGGCAAACUGGAGUGUGUGAGAGGAUAGUGGAAUGCCAGGUGUAGGGGUGAAAUCCGUAGAUAUCUGGCGGAACAUCGGUGGCGAAGGCGACUAUCUGGCACAUAACUGACGCUGAGGAGCGAAAGCGUGGGUAGCAAACAGGAUUAGAUACCCGAGUAGUC